rnacentral:rRNA from 1 species
ACAGCAGUCGCCGCGGGAAUACGGAGGGUGCAAGCGUUACUCGGAAUUACUGGGCGUAAAGCGUGCGUAGGUGGUUGUUUAAGUCUGCUGUGAAAGCCCUGGGCUCAACCUGGGAAUUGCAGUGGAUACUGGGCGACUAGAGUAAGGUAGAGGAUAGUGGAAUUUCCGGUGUAGCAGUGAAAUGCGUAGAGAUCGGAAGGAACAUCUGUGGCGAAGGCGACUAUCAGGGCCAACACUGACACUGAGGCACGAAAGCGUGGGGAGCAAACAGGAUUAGAUACCCCCGUAGUCCCUGUCUCUUAUAC